AUGGUUUGCGGGAAAACUCUUCUCUCUCUGGUCUCACUUCGAGUCCUUCUAGAAGUAAAUAAAGGAAAUGCUUAUUCAACUACGGCACUGUCGGACAACCGACCGGAUUCAAGCCCUAGCCCCUCAACUCGGACGGACUUGUGGAAAUCCUCGAAAACAAGUAUUUCUCAACUCACCUAUCUAUAA
rnacentral:rRNA from 1 species